rnacentral:rRNA from 1 species
AUCCAGACUCCUACGGGAGGCAGCAGUGGGGGAUAUUGCACAAUGGGGGGAACCCUGAUGCAGCGACGCCGCGUGGGUGAAGGAGUGCUUCGGCAUGUAAAGCCCUAUCGGCAGGGAAGAAGCAAGACGGUACCUGACUAAGAAGCCCCGGCUAACUACGUGCCAGCAGCCGCGGUAAUACGUAGGGGGCAAGCGUUAUCCGGAUUCACUGGGUGUAAAGGGAGCGUAGACGGCCAAGCAAGCCAGGGGUGAAAGCCCGGGGCCCAACCCCGGGACUGCUCUUGGAACUGCGCGGCUGGAGUGCAGGAGAGGUAGAUGGAAUUCCUAGUGUAGCGGUGAAAUGCGUAGAUAUUAGGAGGAACACCAGUGGCGAAGGCGGCCUGCUGGACGACAACUGACGGUGAGGC